ensembl:lncRNA
CAAAUAUAUUAUUAGACCAUGAGAGGCUGAUGAUGAACAAAAUAAUUAGCUAAAUAAGUUAUUUAUAUUUUCUUACAUGUAACAAUUAGUAAUAAUUGAUAAAUUUGCUGUGUCAUGGGUCACAAUUGACAGCAUAUACUUUCCUAUGAAAAAAGGAGGAAAGUCAAUUUAAUUUCCUGAAACCACACUAUUUUGGUCAAUCACACUACAAGUGCCAUCUCUGGCAAGGUGUGUGUGUGUGCAUCUGUGUGUAUUUAUGUAUGUAUGUGUUCAUGUUAAUUUGCAUGAUGGGCAGCAUGUGAAUAUUUAUGUUUGUGCCUUGCAAAUGUGUGGCAAAUGGUCCUGGUCUUAUGGUGCUGGUCUUUGUGUCCUUAUUAGGGCAGCACUGGCAUUUCUAUCUCUUGUUUUGGAUUUGUUUAGGAUUAAUAUAACUCCACACUACAAAGGCAUUGUAAGCCAAAACACCAAAGAUCUUGUAAAAGACGACCAUUUCCCACCUUGCUGUCAUCCAUAUGCAGGUGUAAGUGCCAGUCACCUGGCCUAAGCUGUCAACUCCUCCUUUAUUGAUUGUAUUCCAGGAUUACUCCAGUGGAGGGCGCUCAUCAGUAUCACACUUUUGUUCCUCUAGGGUCACUAUAACACGUGUGGUGUCUCCAGUUAAGGCAAACUUCGAGGAGAGCGCGAGAGAGCUUCGGCCUAUAUACUGCUAUACAGCUGGGGGACAGGAGAUGUGUGUGUGUGUGUAUGUAAUGAAAGAGAGAGUGCAGAUGUGCACAUGGGAUCAUAUUUGUUGCAUGUCACUCGACAAUUGAAUUCAAGUCAAUAUGCUUUCUUGGCAUGAAACCAUUUUUAUAUUAUUACACAAUAUUAUUAUACUAUUGUAAUAUGAUUUUAUUGUUAUUCUUUUAGUUUUGCCAAAAAACUAAGCAUAUAAAUUCCAAAUUCCAACCAGUUCAUGAUCGGAAUGGGGGAGAUGGCAAUGGCUGUGUAGGAUGUGGUGUUAUUAGACAUUUUCUGAGAGGGUUUUCUGAAAAUGGUAUCUGUCUUAAUUCAAGGGGAAGUCGUCAGGCAACGCCUAGUAAAGGUUGAGUGCAUUGCCUAAACUGUGACUGCAAGAAAAAAACGAGAAGGAAUGAAGUCAAAGUUUAAGACCGGAUGACAGUAUUCAGUGCAUUGUCUUUUCUUUCCUCAAGAAGUAGAUGCAUAUAGGCAUGGGAUGAACUUUGUGAAUAAAGACAAUGUAAACAUUGAAUGUUGAUACUGUAACAUUUGAAUGUCCAUUGUGGUAGUCUUAAUUGAGAAUUAAAUUACUUAUCAACAGAUUUAAAUUAAUUAAACAACAAAGAUGACUUUGUAAUUAUUAUAAUGUAUAGGCUUGCAUGAAAUAACAAAGUACAUUCUUUUUAAAUCCUGUUGGGUCUUAAAAGACAAAAGACAACAUAUUACAAUUUUAUAAAGAUAAUUUGCAAAUGAGUAGGCCAGUUUCUCUGAAAAGUAUUGCAAUCACACUGACCAUAAAAAAGUACUAUAACAUUACAAUAAAGUGCAAAUUUUCUUUUUACUCUGAUUUCAUUUUACAGCAGAAGUUAUGUAAAGCAUUCAAAAUACAUUUUCCACAUAUAAGAUCAAUUCAAAAUUAUUUGCAUUGACUCGGCAGCAGAAUAUCUUCUUUUUUUUUUUUUAAACAUCUUCAACAAUUUAUGAAAGAAAGAGCAUGAAUGACACAAAAUAUUUGGAAACAAAGCAAGAGAUGUGAGACAAAAAGAUUGGAAAACACAGAUGUCUAGCGCUAUUUUAACAUGCUGAGUGAUGUUAGCCUAUAGAAAGUUGUUACUAUUACCUGUAUUUCAUAAUUGAUCACUUAUAUGACCCUUAAUCUCAAGGUCAGGGGUCACUUCUGAACAGUUUGACCAGUUGUUAUUGAAAGUUGAAAUUGUACAACCCCAUUUCCAGAAAGUUUGAAUGCUAUAUAAAAUGGGAAUAAUGCACCGAUCCAUAACAAUUCAGGUCUGGGGAACGUGAGGGCCAGUCAAUGGCAUCAAGGCCUUCGUCAUCAAGGAACUGCCUACAUACUCUGGCCAAAAGGCCGGGCAUUGUCCUGAACCAGGAGGAACCCAGGGCCCACUGCACCAGUGUAAGGUCUGAUGAUGGUACUGCAGUCAGGGUACCGUUGGCUAGCACAUGGAGGUCUGUGCGACUCUCCAAGGAUAUGCCUCCCCAGACCAUCACUGACCCACCGCCAAACCGGUCAUGCUGGAUGAUGUUGCAGGCAGCAUAACGUUCACCACGCUGUCUCCAGACUCUAUCAGAGAACGAGGCGCCAAUGGCAGAACUGUCAAUUCUGGUGUUCUCUGGCGAAUGCCAAUCGAGCUGCACGGUGCUGGGCUGUGAGCACAGUUCCCACUAGAGGGCCUCAAGCCACCCUCAUGGAGUCUGUUUCUGACAGUUUGGUCAGAAACAUGCACAACAGUAGCCCACUGGAGGUCAUUUUGUAGGGCUCUGGCAGUGCUCCUCCUCUUCCUUGUCGCACAAAGGAGCAGAUAACAGUCCUGCUGCUGGGUUGAUGCCCUUCUACGGCCAUGUCCAGCUCUCCUCGUGUAACGGCCAGUCUCCUGGUAUCCCCUCCAUGCUCUUGAGACUGUACUGGGAUGAAAUGAUGUAUACUGAUAUCAAAUGAUGUGCACAUCAUUUCAUUCUGAUUUUAUUUGCAUUUUACGCAGAGCCCAACUUUUUUGUAAAUGGGGUUGUAACAUAACAGAUCUCACAAAAUAAAUGCUUAUUGCUCUGUGGGUUUAAGUGGAAAGCCUUGUACAGUUGAUUCACCCUAUUUAAAGAGCAACCAUUUCUGGGUUCCUCUAAGUGUAUACACAAUGUGGGGGUGGGGACGAACAAGAGUCCAGGUUAGUGUAUAAAACGAUGAAGUGCAUUUAAGAGUUAACUACAAUCACAAAGCGAUAGGCUGUAGAGUCUUCCAACCUAAUUAAUUACUGGGCCAUAAUGAUUAUGCCAGGUAUGGAAUACCUUGGGAUAUCAUUCUCUGUGAGGAGCUACUGUUGCUGUUUUGUUUCAAAAUUAUGUAUGUUAAUUGUCAGGUGUUUGAAAGUUGUAGUCAUAUUGAUGGGAUUACAUGGAUUGCACCUGGCACCGAACAGAUUCUGAUUAACAAAAUCUGUCUGCAUCAUCUCUGUGUGGUCAUGAGCAGCAUCUCUGUCUGCAUCAUCUCUGUGUGGUGAUGAACAAUGCCUCUGUCUGCAUCAUCUCUGAGUGGUGAUGAACAAUGCCUCUGUCUGCAUCAUCUCUGUGUGGUGAUGAACAGCUUCUCUGUCUGCAUCAUCUCUGUGUGGUGAUGAACAUCGCCUCUGUCUGCAUCAUCUCUGUGUGGUGAUGAACAAUGCCUCUGUCUGCAUCAUCUCUGUGUGGUCAUGAGCAGCAUCUCUGUCUGCAUCAUCUCUGUGUGGUGAUGAACAAUGCCUCUGUCUGCAUCAUCUCUGUGUGGUGAUGAACAAUGCCUCUGUCUGCAUCAUCUCUGUGUGGUGAUGAACAGCAUCUCUGUCUGCAUCAUCUCUGUGUGGUGAUGAACAACGCCUCUGUCUGCAUCAUCUCUGUGUGGUGAUGAACAGCAUCUCUGUCUGCAUCAUCUCUGUGUGGUGAUGAACAUGAUCUCUGUCUGCAUCAUCUCUGUGUGGUGAUGAACAACGCCUCUGUCUGCAUCAUCUCUGUGUGGUGAUGAACAACUCCUCUGUCUGCAUCAUCUCUGUGUGGUGAUGAACAACUCCUCUGUCUGCAUCAUCUCUGUGUGGUGAUGAACAACUCCUCUGUCUGCAUCAUCUCUGGGUGGUUACUGUCAUGUUAUAAUAGAGUAAGUAUGAUAUGGCCUAAGAUAUAUUCACUAAUCAGCACACACACACACCCACACACACACAGUGUCGUCUCCAUGCCCCUUUCCCAUUCUAAAGCCCUGAGUUUAAAUCUGGGAGAGUUAGCAUUGCUCUGUCUAAAAAAACAAUUGGGUGGUGGGUGCGUAUCGGCGGUGUGAUGUGUGUACGUGUGUAUGUGUGUUUUUAAUGAAAUGACACAGUACGUUGUGUUUGCAUGUCUGUCUAUGUUGUUUGCUGAUGCUAACAUAUAUUUUUACAUAAUCACAUUGGAGGAACAUCAGUGUCAGGACAGAUGAAACGAAGUGAAAUAUAAUGUCUUGACAUCAACCAUACAACAGUUAAGUUCCAGACUGAGGGUUUUGCUCUACGCCAUUCCAAAGCAAUGAGGAUUCACACAAUGUCCAUGUGUCUCAGAUAUUAAUCACUGUAUGGGGAAUAUCAGAACAGCAUAAUGGGUUUAAUGUUUAACUCAAUGGCCACUUUAUUAGGUACACAGCCUGUUUUGGCUAUUUGUAGCGCAAAUAGCAAAACAGGCUGCAACUCAAUUUACUAAGAAUGCAGACUUGGUCAAUAGGUUAUGUUGAUCCUUGAAGCAGAUGUAGGCAAAAGGGGGUCCUACUUGAUACUUGAAAGAUGUACAAUCUAUCUAGUAACAGGUAAUAAAGUUGCCAGUGAGUGAAAAAAAAAGUUUUUUAUAUAUAGUGCCUUCCAAUAUAUUAAAACCCUUGAUCAAUUCUCUCAUAUUGCUGAAUUACAAUUAAUACAUUGACAUUUUGCUAAUUUUCUUUUUUAAAACACUGACAUUUAAAAUCAAUUGUAAGGCAACAUUGGUUUUAUGUUGGGAAUGAUAACAUUUGGUAAUAUGUUGCAUACAUAAGUAUUCAACCCUACACAUUUAAAUUUAGUAGACAACUUUAGGUCUUUUGUUAAGUAUGAACCAGCUUUGUAAACUGUCAGACUGAUUUUUGCCCAUUGUUCUUGGUAGAUUUUGGUCGAGGUUGAUUGGAUGAUGCUUCUGGGCUGCAAUCAUCAAAUAUUGCCAAAGCUUUUCAAUGGGAUUGAGAUCAGGACUCGGGCCACUGUAGGAUAUUCACUUAUUUGUUCCACAAUGUUUCUUCAUGAAAGACUGAAGCAAGUACUCCUGCAUAUUUCAGUGUAUUUUUCCUCAUUCAUUAUUUCCUCAAAUUUACCAAGGUCCCCAAUCCCUACUAAAGAGAAACAUCACCAUUUGCAUGGCUCUGCCACCAACAUACUUUAUUUUAGGGAUGUCUUGUCCUGUUGCAUGGGAACACAUAGCUAUUGGGGUUUAGCCAACAAUCUCAAUAUUGGUCUCAUCUGACAACAAGAUGACCCCACCUUUUCUUACAUCGCAGCUGGGUCAUUCACAUGGUUUCCAUAGUACUUUUCGACUUAUCCAGAGCUGGGGUGGGGUGACUGGUGCACCAUUACCCCACCCCCAGCCUCUGAACACUGUAGCUCCCUCAAAGUUAUUGUUAGCCUUUCUGUGGCUUUUUGCAGUCUCCUUCUUGUUCAAGCACUGAGUUUUGGGGUACAGCCUUUUCUUGGCAGUGCCCUGGUGGUGUGCUGCAGCUUCCACUUACUGAUUAUUAAUGCUCACUGAAAUAUCCAAACUCUUGGAUGUCAUUUCCUAAUCUACGCCUGUGUACUUGUCUAAUGUAUCUAUUGUCUUAACUUUCCUUUACAUUCACAUCCUGACCAGUGAUCCUUCAACAGUGGGUAUUGAUCCAGAAAAUGUGAUAGCAACUGUAAAUACUCACAAGUGGAAGCCAAUGGUAAACUGGGAGCUUCCACAGCAUACGAGUUGAAUAUUUAUGCAAAGCAACAUAUUUUAUUUAUUUCUCACAAAUAUUUCCCAAUAUAAAACCAAUGUCACCUUACAGUAAUUGAUUCUCCAUGUUAGUGUUUUAAAAUAAAAUAACAAUUAACAAAUGUUCCAUUUAUAAUUCAAUAACAUUUGAGAAUUGGUCAGGGGUUUGAAAACCUUUGCACAGCAAUGAAAUCAGGUAUAUACAAUAUGUAAUAAGUCACAGGAAUCUGGUGUGGUCCUGGGAGUAGGAGCACAUCCAUUUCUGCUCAGAGAAUCAACGUUUCUGCUUUAUCCAAUAUGUAACAAUGUUCCUGAUAAUUUGCAUGCACGUUCUGUAUACAGGUAGGCACUUCCUAAACAAAACAGGCCGUAUUCACUCAAAGCAAUUCUAUCAAUCCAGUGAAAAAACGAAUAGGAGUAACGGGAAUUUGUUCCAGGGAAUUUUAGGUGAGAACAAUGAAUUGUUAAGAGUACUGUCACAUACAAUAAUGUAUAUUUGUAUCGAAAGCAAAUAACUGUGAGGACAUACACGUUUAGUAGGCGUAUGAUCUCUGCAGGAAAUCAUCUCCCAACCUUGGCAUUGCCGACACCACUCGUACCAACUGAGCCACAGGACUGCUGGAACACAAACAGCAACAUUCAUCACAGCUGAAAUGAAAUCAUUCUCUGUAUACUUUAGAAGAAGAGGUUAUGAAUUUCUUGCUUUCCCAGCCUCCAGUCACUGGAGAUGUCUGUUCAUAUUGAAUACUUAUUUCACCUUCUAAAUCAGGGGUUUUUUCACUACACGGUCAGGAAAAAUUCCUGGCCCUCGUCCUUGGGUCCACACCCGUGUUUGUCCUGAUAGGCAAAGCAGCAUUCAUAAUCAUUUGUAUCACAGGCAACAUAUUUCAAUUCAUGGUAGCUCAAAAUCAAAAGCAUGACUUGUAUGCAUUUUGUUUGAAAGAUAACUUGUUUUCUGCCUAGUUCUUUAUAUUUUUUUCUUAAACAUAAAAUGUAAUCAAUAUCAUGCUUUAGCAAAAUGUUCUUUUGAAUUACACUUAUAUCAAACACUGGUAAAGUGUAAUAGUUAAAAUCUCUUACAGUUCAUAGCCACAAAAAUGUUGAUAUUGUUUUGUUUGCCCUGUUUGUCUUAGUUCUCAUGCACAUCGAUCCAUGGUUAGUAUUUACAUUAUUUACAAACAAUACAACUGUCUUGUAUACUGGGUGUCUAUCUGUUCAUGUUAUUGGUAUAGAAGUAAAAUAAUAUAGAAUCUUAAAUACAGUAUUUUCGUAUGAAAAAGAUCCAGGGUCUCCAUAUAUACCCAUACCUCGUCAUUUUAUGUACAGAGAUGCUCAAUAGUCAAAAAUAUGGGUUGGGCUUCCCUCUGUAAGGGCUAAUAUAGGGACCACUGUCCUAGAUGGGAUAACAUAUAGCGUGGGGACUUCUCAAAGUCAAUAAGAAGUCAAGGCAAUGCAUUGUGACACUCUCGUCAAAACCAAAUGCAGCGUUCUGAAGUUCACAUUAAGAACAAAUUGACAGAGACAGUUACCAUCUGAACUGUCACACAUCACCACACAGUAGGGGUCUUAAAUGACUCGCACCAAAAUGCUAUUGUCUUUCUGUGAAUUAACUUACGGUAAAACAAUAAAAAAAACUUGAAUACAAUUAGAAAAUAUAUAGAUAAGGCCAUACAAACUUAACGAACUGUUGAAAAUGUUUUUUUAAGUAUUUAAAAAAAUAAUAAUGUUAUGGUUGCCACUUGUUUGUGAAGAGGGGCAUUCGUUUUUACAGUAAAUCAACUUAGUAUGGCCUGAUACAUAAACGCACAGAGAACCCAGGAUACUUUCCUUACAUUGAGCACAUUAUAAACACGGGGUAGAGACGGGUUGAUGAGGACAGAAGAGAAACACCACUACACAUAAAGACUAAAGAAACAACACUUAAGCAGUUUGGUUAGCAUGCAGGAGCUUACAGCUCAAACACAUGCAAUAGAUUCAAGAAGCAGACCCACACAUCUGGCUAGCAAAAUGCUGCCUCAGAAAAUGACUUCAUAGUCAAAGUUACAAAUUAAGACAUUGUUAUUAAGACCCAAUCUAUUAAUGUUUUUCUUACAUUCAAGUGUAGUCCUUUUUGGGUGAUUGGUUGACACGUCUCGCCAGCCAAUCAAAGUGUGAUGUCACAUUGACUUGCCAACUGCCAUAAAAGCCAUGAAAGAACAAGAGUUAGCAGAAAACAGUGCAUGCAUACAGGACACAGGAGUGAUAUUUGGUUUAUGAUUUCCUUUCCUAAAAUUGAUCAUUUAAAAUAGAAAAUACAGCAGGUCCCAUUUAGAUAAUGCACGUCAAUGCCAUUGUUACCCAUCAGAAAACCAAGCGUCCUAUUCACUGUGUUGAACGCGAUCAACGACUGAACAGGGCCUGUCUUCAAGUGCGUCCGUUUCCUUUUCUCUUUUUUGAAAAAGCAUUGAUCCGUAACGAGUGCAAAGAUGCCGUGAGGGGAUGUAGUUUCUCCCUGUGAGGAAGGUGAAAGGAAAGCCAUACUCUGACCAGACAGGUCCAUGUGUUCAUCAGAGCAGCCUCCUAGAUACAGUUGCCAUGUGUCCCUGUCUGUUUGGGAGGCGAGGAGGAGAAGGGUUGUCCCUGUGUUGUGAUAUAGUUGCCAUGUAGACCUGGUCCUCCCGUCUGAGUGUUACGUGUCUGUUUGGGAAGUGUUUCUCUGUCUGAAGAGCGGUGGGAGACCGGGAGGCAGGAGUGUAGACUGGGAAGUAACCCCACUGUGAGAACUGUCUGAGGAGACGGAGAAGGGAGUUGCCCCCAUGUGAGGCAGAGGGAGGCAGGAGUGUAGACUGGGAAGUAACCCCACUGUGAGAACUGUCUGAGGAGAGGGAGAAGGGAGUUGCCCCCGUGUGAGGCAGAGGGAGGCAGGGAUCGGACAGGGAAGAGAUGGGUGUAGAUGAGCUCACAGGGUGAGGCGGCUCUGUGUUGGGCUGGCUGGUGAGCUCUCAGGACCCCUGGCCUUUCUCUGCUCUCUUGCCCUGGAGGAGAGAAGAGCCCCUGGUCAGACACACACUCCACACACCAGUCUGAUGGUCAGACACACACACUCACACCAGUCUGAUGGUCAGACACACACUCACACCAGUCUGAUGGUCAGACACACACACUCACACCAGUCUGAUGGUCAGACACACACUCACACCAGUCUGAUGGUCAGACACACACUCCACACACCAGUCUGAGGGUCAGACACACACACUCACACCAGUCUGAUGGUCAGACACACACUCACACCAGUCUGAUGGUCAGACACACACUCACACACCAGUCUGAUGGUCAGACACACACUCACACCAGUCUGAUGGUCAGACACACACUCACACCAGUCUGAUGGUAAGACACACACUCCACACACCAGUCUGAUGGUCAGACACACACUCACACCAGUCUGAUGGUCAGACACACACUCACACCAGUCUGAUGGUCAGACACACACUCCACACACCAGUCUGAUGGUCAGACACACACUCCACACACCAGUCUGAUGGUCAGACACACACACACACACACCAGUCUGAUGGUCAGACACACACACUCACACCAGUCUGAUGGUCAGACACACACUCACACCAGUCUGAUGGUCAGACACACACUCACACCAGUCUGAUGGUCAGACACACACUCCACACAAUGGUCUGAUGGUCAGACACACACACUCACACCAGUCUGAUGGUCAGACACACACACUCACACCAGUCUGAUGGUCAGACACACACUCACACCAGUCUGAUGGUCAGACACACACACUCCCACCAGUCUGAUGGUCAGACACACACUCCACACACCAGUCUGAUGGUCAGACACACACUCACACCAGUCUGAUGGUCAGACACACACACUCACACCAGUCUGAUGGUCAGACAGACACUCACACCAGUCUGAUGGUCAGACACACACACACACCAGUCUGAUGGUCAGACACACACACCCCCACCAGUCUGAUGGUCAGACACACACUCACACCAGUCUGAUGGUCAGACACACACUCACACCAGUCUGAUAGUCAGACAGACACUCACACCAGUCUGAUGGUCAGACACACACUCACACCAGUCUGAUAGUCAGACAGACACUCACACCAGUCUGAUGGUCAGACACACACUCACACCAGUCUGAUGGUCAGACACACACUCACACCAGUCUGAUGAUCAGACACACACUCCACACACCAGUCUGAUGGUCAGACAAACUCCACACACCAGUCUGAUGAUCACACUCAGUUACUGUUUUCACAAGACUUAAGGUGGGCGGUCUCCUAACACACCCAUACACAGAAAUACAACCCUUCACCCACAAAGCCAAACAUAAGAGCAGGAUUUCCUGGGGCAGACCAAACAAGAGAGAAGCUCCUCCCACAUAGGAAGCAAUGUCACUCAAAGCAUGCCCCACUCCCUGGAAGUAAAGAAGCAAGACCCGCCCCUGUCUGUCAGUCAUGCAGCAAUACCAGCAUCAUUCAGCAACCUCCUGAGAGGUGUAGAGGGAGAGAAGAGAAGAAGCCAGGGAGAGAGAGGAGGAGAGAGUGGAGGAGAGGGAGGAGGAGAGAGUGGAGGAGAGGGAGGAGGAGAGUGUGGAGGAGAGGGAGGGAGGUAGACAGAGAAAGAGAGUGUGUCUCAGGUUUGGACUGACCCUGAGUUUCCUCUCUCCCUUUCAGAGAGCUGACAUGCAAACAGGCAUCAGCCACAGGGAGAGAGAGGGGAGAGAGAGAGAGGGAGAGAGAGGGAGAGAGAGGGGAGAGAGAGAGAGGGAGAGAGGGAGAGAGAGGGAGAGAGAGGGAGAGAGGGAUGGGGAGCUAGAGGAAGAGAGCGAGAGAGAGAGCAUGAGAAAGUAAGAACCAGGUAAAGAGAAGGAGUAAGAGAAGCCCAAACUGAGUUACUGGUGCCUACUUACCCGUUUGAGUGGUCUAUGGUCCAUCAAGGGGCUUCACAGAAACAGCAAACAACACCGACGAUUAGCACAGACAGACACAAACACACACAGACACACACACAAACACACACAGACACAGACACAAACACACUGGGUUGGAGCGAGGAGGGUUGGGGUACGGCCAUGCUAGAGAUAUAUAGUGAUGUAGUGACAGCUGGUCUGACACCAGGAUGUAGUGUGUAUUAGUGAUGUAGUGACAGUUGGUCUGACACCAGGAUGUAGUGUGUAUUAGUAAUGUAGUGACAGUUGGUCUGACACCAGAAAGAGGUAGUGUGUAUGAGUGAUGUAGUGACAGCUGGUAUGACACCAGAAGGAGGUAGUGUGUAUGAGUGAUGUAGUGACAUCUGGUCUGACACCAGAAGGAGGUACUGUGUAUUAGUAAUGUAGUGACAGCUAGUCUGACACCAGGAUGUAGUGUGUAUUAGUGACAUUGUGACAGCUGGUCUGACACCAGAAGAAGGUAGUGUGUAUUAGUAAUGUAGUGACUGCUGGUCUGACACCAGAAGGAGGUACUGUGUAUUAGUAAUGUAGUGACAGCUAGUCUGACACCAGGAUGUAGUGUGUAUUAGUGACAUUGUGACAGCUGGUCUGACACCAGAAGAAGGUAGUGUGUAUUAGUGAUGUAGUGACAGCUGGUAUGACACCAGAAGAAGGUAGUGUGUAUUAGUAAUGUAGUGACAGCUAGUCCGAUACCAGAAGGAGGUAGUGUGUAUGAGUGAUGUAGUGACAGCUGGUAUGACACCAGAAGGAGGUAGUGUGUAUGAGUGAUGUAGUGACAUCUGGUCUGACACCAGAAGGAGGUACUGUGUAUUAGUAAUGUAGUGACAGCUAGUCUGACACCAGGAUGUAGUGUGUAUUAGUGACAUUGUGACAGCUGGUCUGACACCAGAAGAAGGUAGUGUGUAUUAGUAAUGUAGUGACUGCUGGUCUGACACCAGAAGGAGGUACUGUGUAUUAGUAAUGUAGUGACAGCUAGUCUGACACCAGGAUGUAGUGUGUAUUAGUGACAUUGUGACAGCUGGUCUGACACCAGAAGAAGGUAGUGUGUAUUAGUGAUGUAGUGACAGCUGGUAUGACACCAGAAGAAGGUAGUGUGUAUUAGUAAUGUAGUGACAGCUAGUCCGAUACCAGAAGGAGGUAGUGUGUAUGAGUGAUGUGGUGACAGCUGGUCUGACCCCAGAAGGAGGUACUGUGUAUGAGUGAUGUAGUGACAGCUGGUCUGACACCAGAAGGAGGUAAUGUGUAUUAGUAAUGUAGUGACAGCUGGUCUGACACCAGAAGGAGGUAGUGUGUAUGAGUGAUGUAGUGACAGCUGGUCUGACACCAGAAGAAGGUAGUGUGUAUGAGUGAUGUAGUGACAGCUGGUAUGACACCAGAAGGAGGUACUGUGUAUGAGUG